ensembl:processed_transcript Hoxa11os homeobox A11, opposite strand
GGGCUGGGGGUGGCCAGGUGAAAGCCCGGAAUUGUAUAGCUUCAGGUCCCGGAGUCUGUUAUCCGAAGGCUUACGUUCAGCACCUUCUUCGCAGCCCCCCUCCCACAGGUUUGCUCUGGGAAGCCCCCCAGCCUCAGACCCUGGCUGGACCCCAUUUGGGGCCAGGCUUCGCCGGCACGGAUGUGCCGGCCUCGUGGCUUGUCCGAUUUGCACGGUGACUUGAUUACACGCUCUCAUUCACGGUCACUUCCGAAGCGCUUUAGUGCCUUCCGUCCCCAAACCGCCAACAGGCAAAGCGGCUUCCCUCCGCGGUUUGUCAAUAAUCCGCGCUGUCCGGAAGGGCCUUCGUCUUACCCGGGUUCCACCUUCCCUGUAUCUUUCUGCUUACUUCCUUACCCCACACCCUGUCCUUGAAGGAACCCCUUCUCCUCGCUGCCUGUAGGGGUUCGGAGUGACUCCUCAGAGCCAGAGGCACUUCUGCUCACCGGUCCGCAAGCUGCCUGGUCUGCUGAAGCUGACGAAUCGGGAAACCAUGCAAUUGAGGCGAACCUUGGGCUGUUUUAGAGGCGCUGAGGAGCCUUCUCCUGGGAGGCCCAAGGUUGAUUUCAGCCCACCAGGAUCUGGGGAAGACCCAACUAGGGAUAAGAGCACACCAAAAGGCCAAGUCCGAGUUCCAUUUCUAGAAGAGGCGGCUUCCGGCAAGGCUAUGACAUUGGCCCUGGACAUUGGUUUCCCAGGAGCUGCUUUUUCUCAAGAACUCCACAGCACGGGGCUGUCUCCAGAAAACGCUCUUCAACGUUUAUUUCUUUUAAUCGUCGCCCGGAGCCCUAAGGCGGCUAAUGCAAGAGGCCAAAAAUGUUUGGAGGAAGAAAAACAAAGGCAGGA